rnacentral:rRNA from 1 species
UGAGGAAUAUUGGUCAAUGGGCGGGAGCCUGAACCAGCCACGUCGCGUGAAGGAAGAAGGCUCUAUGGUUCGUAAACUUCUUUUGCAGGGGAAUAAAGUGCAGGACGUGUCCUGUUUUGUAUGUACCCUGAGAAUAAGGAUCGGCUAACUCCGUGCCAGCAGCCGCGGUACUACGGAGGAUCCGAGCGUUAUCCGGAUUUAUUGGGUUUAAAGGGUGCGUAGGUGGUUUGAUAAGUCAGCGGUGAAAGUUUGCAGCUUAACUGUAAAAAUGCCGUUGAAACUGGCGGACUUGAGUGUAAAUGAGGUAGGCGGAAUGCGUGGUGUAGCGGUGAAAUGCAUAGAUAUCACGCAGAACACCGAUUGCGAAGGCAGCUUACUAAGCUACAACUGACACUGAAGCACGAAAGCGUGGGGAUCAAACA